rnacentral:rRNA from 1 species
CCCUUAGAUGUCCUGGGCUGCACGCGCGCUACACUGGAAGUUACGGAUUGAGAUACUACCUUGUCCGAAAUGGUCCGGGUAAUCACCUAAAAGCUUGUCAUAAUUGGAAUGGAUUAUUGUAACUAGUAAUCCUGAACGAGGAAUUCCUAGUAAGUCCCAGUCAACAGCUGGUACUGAUUACGUCCCUGCCCUUUGUACACACCGCCCGUCGCUACUACUGAUUGGACGUUUAAGCAAGAUUUUUAAACACUGACAGUGUGUAGUUCACGCUUUACUACAGUGAGAAGAAGAAGAUCGAGCUUACUUGUCUAGAGGAAGUAAAAGUCGUAACA